rnacentral:misc_RNA from 1 species
AGCGUAAUAUCUUGUAGGUAACCAUUUGUAUCUUGAACUAGGUAUCCUAAUUAUCCUUGUAGCUCUUGCUGAACUUAUGGAACAGAUAGUCUAUGAGCUCUACACUUCAACGUCCAAGAUUAGAAAUCGGGGUUGGCUUUUAUCGUACUUGGAUUAUUUUCACAACUGACAGAUUGAAAUUAACUUAUCAUAGCCUCUUUUAUUGUGGCUUGUUU